GAGAGAGAGAGAGAGAGAGAGAGAGAGAGAGAGAGAGAGAGAGAGAGAGAGAGAGAGAGAGAGAGAGAGAGACUUCGUAGUAGGUACUAAUAUUUUUAUGCGUCUUAAGUUUCUCUUUUCGUGUGUGUAAACAAAAAUAAAAAAAAGGCAUUGGGUGUGGUGGUGAUGAUGAUGAUGAUGGUGAUGAUGGUGAUGAAAUUGUUGGAGGGCUUACUGAUGGUGGUGAUGACUUAAGUGGUGUUGAGGCGUGGUGGUGAUGCAGGUGGAGGUGAUACAUGGUGUUUGCAAUUUUACUCCUUUUUAGUGGUGGUGGUGGUGGUGGUGAUGGUGGUGGUGGUCAUUAUUGUGGUGUAGGCCUAGUCUGUGGUGGUGGGUGAUAUAUAUAAAAAAGUAAUGUCAUUUGGUAUUGUUUUCGAGUUUAUAAGUGGUGGUGUUUUGAUGGCUGUGGUGGAGUUAGUUUAGUGGUGGUGGUGGUAGCAGUGGUGGUAUAGAUGGUUAAGAAAGUCCUGUUAGUGGAUCUAGUGAUGGUGUUGAUGGUGAUGUUUGGUGGUUAUGGAGGUGGUGGAAGAAGUGGUGUUGAAGGAGAAUGUGGUAGUGGUGGUGGUGUUAAAAGUGGUGGUGGUGGUGAUGUUGGUGAAGCUUUACCUAGUGAUGAUUCCGUUUUUGGUAGUGGUGAAGGUGGUAUUGAUGGUGUUGAUGGAAGUGGAAUUGGUGUUGAAGAUGGUGAUGAAGAUGGCAGUGGUGAUGGGGAGAGUGGUGGUGCUCGUGGUGUUUAUGGAGAUGGUGGAGCUGGUGAUGAUGGUGGAGUUGGUGGUGAUGAAUGGUGUUGGUGGAUGGGAUUGAUAGAAGUGGUGAUGGUGUUUUUGGUGGUGUUAGGAAUGGUGUUGGUAUUGAAGGAGGUAAUGGUGUUGGAGACGGAGAGAUAGGUGGUGAUGGUUGUCGUGGUGAUGAAAGUGGCGAUGGGUGGUGAUGUUGGUAAGAUUCAGGUGGAUGUGAUGUUGAUGUUAGUUGAGUUGAUGGUGCUACUGGUGGAGGUGGUGUUGACAGAAGUGGUAAUGGUGGUGAUGAUGGUGGUGAAGGUGGUGUAAGUUAUGUAAUGGUGUUGAUGGGAGUGAUGCUGGUUAAGGUGAUGGCGUUAAUAAAAGUGGUGGUGGAGGUGAUGCCGGUGGUGAUGAAGAUGAAAGUGAAGAUGGUGUUGAAGAAGGUGGAGGUGGAGGAGGUGGUGAUAAAUAAUGUGGAAGAGGUGGUAUUAAUGGUGUAUGUGGUGGAGGUGAUGCCGGUGGUGAUAAAGCUGAAAGUGAAGAUGGUGUUGAAGGUGAAGGUGGAGGAGGAGGUGGUGGUGAUGAAUAAUGUGGAAGAGGUGGUGGAGUUGUGAUGUUAGUGGAGGUGAUGUGAGAAGGGGCAGCGAUGGAGUUGAACAUAGUGAAAAUCCGGAUCCUUUUGUGGUGUUGGUGGUGUUGACAAAACUGGUGAUGUUGGUAGUUGAGUUAGAGGGGGUGAAAGUGGUGUACCUGGCGUGGUGUUGAUGGCAGUGCUGGUGUUAGUAGUGGUGUUAAGAGACGGUGGGAAUGGAAGUGGAGGUGAUAAGUGGUGUUGAUAGAAGUGGGGGAAAUGGUGGUUCUGGGGUGGUGAUGAUGAUGAUGAAAUUUCAGGUAUUAGUGGUGUUAGAGGUGGUAUUAAAAGUGGUGGUGUUGAUUGAAGUGCUUGUGUUAGUGGAGGUGUUUGCCGAGGUGUUGUGUUAGUGAAGGUGUUUGCCAAGGUGCUGGUGUUAGUGGUGGUGUUAAUAGGAGUGCUGGUGUUAGUAGUUGUGUUAGAGGAGGUGCUGGUAUAAGUGGUGUUAGUGGAGUAGUUUUUAGAAGUGCUGGUUUUGAUAGUGGAGUUAUAGGUGUUGGUAGUGACGUUAGAGGAGGUCCUGGUAUUAGUGGUGGUAUUAGAGGAGGUCCUGGUAUUAGUAGUGGCGUUAGAGGAGGUCCUGGUGUUAGUGGUGGUGUUAGAGGAGGUCCUGGUGUUAGUGGUGGCGUUAGAGGAGGUCCUGGUGUUAGUAGUGGCGUUAGAGGAGGUCCUGGUGUUAGUGGUGGUGUUAGAGGAGGUCCUGGUGUUAGUGGUGGUGUUAGAGGAGGUCCUGGUGUUAGUGGUGGUGUUAGAGGAGGUCCUGGUGUUAGUGGUGUUGGUAGAGGAGGUCCUGGUGUUAGUGGUGGCGCUAGAGGAGGUCCUGGUGUUAGUGGUGGUGUUAGAGGAGGUCCUGGUGUUAGUGGUGGCGUUAGAGGAGGUCCUGGUGUUAGUGGUGGCGGUAGAGGAGGUCCUGGUGUUAGUGGUGGCGGUAGAGGAGGUCCUGGUGUUAGUGGUGGCGGUAGAGGAGGUCCUGGUGUUAGUGGUGUUGGUAGAGGAGGUGCUGGUGUUAGUAGAGGAGGUGCUGGUGUUAGUAGAGGAGGUGCUGGUGUUAGUAGAGGAGGUGCUGGUGUUAGCCGUGGCGCGAGACAGAGGCGGUGCUGGGGUGAGGUGUGAGCGGCUUCAACCCAGCGGACGAGAGAUAAGCCGGGGCUGGUUUUCCCCCGGAGGCGAGACGUGGCAGCAGGGGAA